CCAAGUACUGAUUUUGCCCCAGAUCCCUAAGUGGCCCCUUCAAGGAUUGAACUCACAACCCUGGGUUUAGCAGGCUAAUGCUCAAACCACUAAGCUAUCCCUCACCCCCCACUCACAUUGAUGAACACCUACUCAUGUAAGUAGUUUCAUUGAUGUCAUUAGGACUAUUUGCUUGUGUAAGUGCUUACCACCAGUGUGACUAAAGUUUUCCCAACUGGACCUUUUGCUUUUUGUUAACCCCCAUUUUUUUUUAACAUCUGAGAAACCCUGCAGAGAAGGACUCAUUUUGUUUAAGAUUCCGCACAUCUUGAGACCUUAAUUAAAGGGGAUGGAAAGCUCACAAUGGACAUUAGUAAGGAUGCAAGCAAAACCAAAGAAGAUCCAACAGUUCUGAUGUAAAAGCAAACAGAACCAUUUGAACCUUUUUCAUCCAUAGGCUUAUGUGUCUCUGUCUGACUAUGACUGAACCUCCCUUGAAUCCUGAACACCCGUUUGCUGCCCUUCUUCAGUGUUUCAAACUCAAAUUUAACAUUUAAAACCCCCCAACUUCUUAGCUUUAAAUGUGAUGUUAAAAGUAAAAGUUAAAAGUAAAGCUCCACAGUAUCUAGGGGCAGAGAGUUUGAAAAUGUUGAUGCAUAAGAGGCAAGUGCCCUUCUUCAAAAGGACUUUAACUUCAUGUAUGCAUUGGAACAAUCAACAGCCUUGAAUUCAUUGAAUGCAAUGUGCGAAAGGAGCUUAAGGUACAUCAAGAGGCAAUAGAAUAUAGUCAAGCAUUUGUCCACAUGUAAAUAGUUAAUUGACUGUGUUGUCAGACAUCAUGAUUCAAGGUUGUUCUAUUAUGCUCAACACAAAGCUGUGCAAUUACAGAAUUAUGCAAGUUGCAAAAUACAUUCAAGAUGACAAGGUUGUCUUAACCAUGGCAUUGGAAUGACAAUGAAUGAUUUUUUCCCCCUAGCUUAUUUUAGCCUACACAGCUCAGGUAUGGCAUCAGAUACUCAGUAUUGUCCUCAUUUUAUUCAUUUUUUCUGCUGGGAUGAACGAGGCAAAAAGAAGUCAAAUGUUUUGUUCAAGUGCAUACAUUCAUGCCAAAAUUGUGCAACAUUUAUAGGCCUGAUUUUCAAAAUUGUCAAACCCAACCAUUCAAAAAAUCUUAAGUCAGGCCCCUACAACAUCAUGGAAUAUUAAAAAAAUAAUAAAUUUUGUAUUUUUUUUCCUUUCUGGAUGCAGUUGGGUCAUGUUCUUAAACUUUGCUCCGCAACUAUGGGGGCUAGCCACUUUUGGAAUGAAAGCUGAGAUUCUUAUGAAGUAACAUGAUUCCAGGAGCUGAGGAAAGACUAAAUAUAACCAGAGUUGCCAACACUGGGGAUGCCUUACAUCUUGAGUAGCCUUUUUUACACCUGUGCUAAGUGACUGUGAGGAGGGUGUAGAAAGCUGCAACUAAUUUCCUAGGCAUUUUACACAGGUGUAAAAGAAUACACAAGGCUGGAGAACCACACCCUGUCUUGUUAAAACACUUUGCAAUCUUUGGACCUGAUUCUCUACUUUAAUACACCAGUUUUACAUUAGCACAUCUUCAGAUCAGUGAAAGGUAGGAUGAGGGAAUAGACAGGAGGCUGUGACUGCAGCAGAUAGGUGGGAUACAGGGAGGAAGGAAUUCACCUCUGCUUUGUGGUCACUUUGCACCAGCCUAGCUUGUAUUAAUUUAGCUGGCGCAGUAACGGCAAAGGGGCCAGAUGGCCUAGUUGGGCUCCCCAAGAGAUGCAGGUGGAGCUCCACCACCAGCUCUGAGUUGCCUCUACAGCAGCACAGCAGUGUUCUGUGGUGGGGGUGGAGGCAUGGUCAGGGAAAAUCUUUAUUCCAUUAAUGCCCUAUAGGGUCUCUUGCAGCCCUCUAUAUAGUAAGCUGCACCUCCUUCAUCACUGUGCAGGGAUGAGUCUUGCCCUGGAGCGUCAAAGGAAAAGUGUAUAGUUUUAAAUAUAAGUGAAUUAAAAUUAUUGGUAUUAGUAGGCAGAUGAAAAUAACUAAUUUUUUUGGUAAAUUGUUGUAUUUGUCAACUAACAUAACAGUGCUGGUUCUAAAAGGUAGCAAUCAGCAAUUUUUAUGGAAACUGGUAUACUGUGUCUUUCUGAAAGAGUUGAUCUGAGAGGAAAACUUGCUAGCAGACAAAUAUUAGAGGGCUAAAGAAGAGAUCAAUUUAUUUUGUUUGUUGGGAAACCACAAUUAUUGUAAAUCGUGGGCAGCUUUGGGAAAAGAAUUUCCAAGUGGAAAUGUUACCCUAUUUGUCUCUGACAGAAUUAAUGUGUGCUCUGUACCCCUACAGCUGUGGUAUUUAUGUCAGCCAGCUUCCCUGAGUGUGUCAAUGCCAGGGCUUCAUUUAAAUUAUGAAGAAGAGAGAUUGCAGAUUUUUUGAAGUUGAUAGCUACAAUUAUAAAAGUAUCAAGUUAUUACAGAGCCCCAUAGCAGUGUGAGUAAACCUAAGAAACAGAUAAUUCCUAAUAAAGAGGGAGGAAAAGAUGCAAAGAGAAAUGGAGGCGUUCAAAGGGAGAUAAAAUGCUAAAUCCCUAUGCAGGGUGGUGAUGGGAAACAAUCAAUAUGCUGUGCCACAGGAGCUACAGGGAUUAAAAUAACUGCAACACAAAAACAUUAUUAAGGGGCGGGGGGAGACAGGGAAUUAACAAAACCCCAAUAACAACAAAACAAACCUUGGCAGAUAGAAGAGACCAAUCAAGACAAGAAAUCGAGUUUUAAAAAUAUCGCACACCAAACAUUGUGCUCAACAUAAGAGAACAGAAGUAUAUUUAGAACCUGAAAUAAUCGAAGCAGGGUACUGGUUAUUGAGAAGUUUCCAGAUGUAAAUCAAGGAAUUUUGGUGCAGGAAAAUUAUCAUCCAGAUUAAAAAGAAAUUUACCUAUUGACUGUUUUCCUAAAACAUCUAUUACCAUGCAGUGAUCCUUCUUGCAUAGGGGGAAAAACACCACACAGUUUUGGGUUGAAAAUUUUCAGGGUUAUUUAAUUCUGUACUGAUUUUGACAUUGCCAUCUCCAGUAAUUGUCUAACUUGGCUAUUCACUAACUAUGUAUUGAACUUCAUUUCCAUGACAACUUCUUGUGUUAUAAUGUCUGAUAAUCUCAAAACACCUAAAAGAUGCUCAGAGGUUCAUCUCUGGUUUCCUAGGCAACGUCUUUCAUGUCAUCCCAGGAUAUCCCAAUGCAUUCAAGAGGCAUUCCAUCAACUUUUAAUAAUUGUACACUGACCUACGGUAUGCACAAUAUACAAAACUUAAAAUAUUAGAUGACAAAAAUCUUUAUUGAUUGUAUUCAGAAAUGUUGUUUCUCAGCUAGAAUCCAAUUAGUUUGCCCAAAUGCAUACAUUUUCUCCAUUAGGCCUGCAAAAACAAUGCUCUAAGAAGACAUGUAACCAUCCAGACCAAUCAGAGGAUUAAAAACAACUUUGCAUACCAAAAGAAAUAUUUUUUACUGUAUUAGUCACAAUUUCUUACCCCCUCAAAGUAAAAUACACGUAUAAAAAUAGAUAAAACAUUGCCAUCUGUGUGAAGAACAUCUGGAGAAAACCAAAGGAUGUAUUGAAAUGUAUGUACUCUUUCAGCUAGAUUACUGUGUAAUGGUUAAAAAAAGCAUAACAGGAAACCCACCCCAAUAUCUUUUGAAAGAUACUGAGGCCCACAAAAUGAGCAAACCUAAUUCUGUACCAUGUCUGGGGCUAUUCUAAAUUGUGCUGGCUUUUUAGAGCCCCACCAUAGCACAUUAUGCUGGUGCAGAAUAGCUGGAGCAUGCUGCUAUUUGACCACACUUCCUCAAGAGUGCCGGAACCUUUGUAGAGGUGGGGUGGGGAGGGCCAAGGCCAAAGUGGAUUCCUGUGUCCCUUCUACCCUAAUCCCUGCACCCUCCUCCUGUGCCCCUUCUCCCCAGUGUUGCUCUACCACCUCCAAACUACACCCAUGUUAAAAAGCCGGGAUGGGGGGCAUGGUCCCUUGGUUCCCCCCCCCAGUUCUGGUUCCAGUGAACCCCCUUCUUUCCAGCUUGUCCUGACAGGCUCCUGAAAUUGGGAGGGUGAUGGAUGUUGAGCUAUUAUGCUCUCUCCUCACUGGCUAGAGGGCCCCCUUUAGAGUGCCAUAUUCUGUGGUGGCAGUAUAAAAGUUGCUACAUCAUGAAGUAGAGUUGAGGCUGGGAUUUGUAGAAAGAGUCUGAAAAGUAAAGUAGAAAGCAGUUCAAAUCCCAAAUAUACAUUAUUUAAUAAGACAACAGUAUAUCAAAUCCAAGAUAUCCACACUUAAUUAAUUUAUCUACCUACCUCAUUUAAUCCUACCUUCUUGUUUUUUUUGCAACAUUACUCAGUUCCCUGUUAACCCAGAAACUAAUAUAGGGGCUGGUCUACAGUAGAUAGUUUUGACCUUUCAGCCAUUUGUUCAGGUGCCUGGAAUCAAUCUAGGUACUUAUAUAGACCUCAUCACCAUAGCAAUUCUGAGUUGGUGGCAUUUUACACUAACUUUGCACAGGUGCCAAGGACAACACUCGGUAGAAAGCAGCAGAAAAUAAGACAUUGGUUGGAAAUUAUUACUUGGUCAGACCUUGGGUGACUGUAACACAGAGGCCCAUUGACAGUUCACUAUUCUGUGUCAGCAACCUCUGUCAAGCCUGACAAACUCAGUACAUCUGACACACUGUUGUCAUGAUAUAUACCCAAAAGGUGGCAUGUAAUAUAUUAUUAGAAAACUAAUAACUAAUUGAUCAUUAAUAUUCUUGCAUGAUGUAUAUAUGGGAUAUGUACAAAGAAUUAUAAACGUGCUGAAAUUAUUUUCUUGAUGUGUUUGGCAAACAAUGUAUAAAGCCAGUCUCCCCUAGCUAAAGGAAUAUGUAUUUGCUUGUCUGAGCAGCCUGGUCUUCAGGUGGAGACAACGAAGGUCACUUUACAUAUCAAAUAAACAAAGAAAGAAGCUUUGGGCUUAUUUUUCAAAUAAUACAUUUUUACAGGGCUAUAAAAAGAAGGGGAGAGAACCCCACAAUUAUCCUUCACCUGAGGACACAAAGGACCUGAGCACUUUGAGUUCUGUGAAGGAUCCUGGCCAGAGCGUCUGGCCAGCCAUGCUGGAAAAGAAACUUGGAUUUAACCCCAGCAGAACAAUGGAAAUUCAUGUAUCUGAAAUAGUGUGUUGUCACAGAGCUACAGGAUUGGUGCUCUAGAACAAGCUUCGGAAUGGUGUGUGCCAGACCCCCGUGGUCUUGCUUUUCCUCCAGGGUAAGUCAUGCAGCUUCACUGCCUCCUUAGACUUGACCUCUGGGCCUGCAUCACUCCUGCUUCACAGCAUAAGCUGCAUUCAGCGAGUCCAACUGAGACAGAACCCUGAUGGAGACUCUUCAGAGAUUAAUGCACCUCACCAAGCAUUCGCAGUGACACUCACAAGGGUUUAUUUGUUAACUGGAACACAGCAUAGGAAGUCCUUAGGGCAGUCUAGAGAAAUGAAGGUUAAAGCAUAGUCCAUAGCCUAGCCAAGCUUCAGUGAACCCUCUGGUUCAAAGCUCUGUCUCUUUCUCUGUCUUCUGACCUCCUUUGUCAGACUCCAUGUGAGAUCCCUGAUUCCUUCCAGCAGCUAACUCUUAUCACCCACCUCCCACCUUCCCAGUCCUUUGACCUCGAGCUGGGGAAUUGUUGUUCAGCUUCCCUAAGGAGAGGCAGGCAAGUCCCUAUUCCUCUGGGUCAUUGGUUGCUAGGUGGCGAUUGGAUUUGCCAUUAUCUUCUCAGAUGCUCCACUGACAUGGGGAUUAAGGCCCAGAAAACUAGGCAACACCCACACACUCUCUCUCUCUCUUAGCCUGCCUAGGGGAAAACAGUCCUUUCCUUCCCACCCGGGAACAAUGCAGCAUAUAUGGGGAAACUGAGGCACAAAUAGGACUCAUAAAAUAUUACAGAAUAUUCUCACUUUGUCACGUGUAUAUUAUGCAUACUGAAUCUAUUUUUUAAAAUGCCCCAUGUAUUAAUUACACUUCAGUUUUAAGAGCAAUCCCUGCACUGUUGACAUUUUAAAGAGAGAGAGUCAUAGUGACAGCAGCAAUGUGCUGGGAAUUGCUAAAAUCCCACAGUCCAGGGAGGGGGAUCUGGUACUUGUACAUACUAGUAAAGGACGUUUAUGUUCUUGUUGUACUUUUGGCAUUAAAGAUAUUGCAAAUCUGUAA